UGAACUAUUGUAUUCACUUUU
rnacentral:snRNA from 1 species